rnacentral:rRNA from 1 species
GAUGAACGCUGGCGGCGUGCCUAACACAUGCAAGUCGAGCGGGGACCUCCAAAGUAGCAAUGCGGCGGAGGUUUCAGCGGCGGACGGGUGAGUAACACGUGAGCAAUCUGCCUUCGGCUGGGGAAUAACAUUGUGAAAACAGUGCUAAUACCGCAUGACGUCCUAUCUGGGCAUCCAGGGGGGACCAAAGGAGUAAUCCGGCCAAAGAUGAGCUCGCGUCCGAUUAGCUAGUUGGUGAGGUAAAGGCCCACCAAGGCGACGAUCGGUAGCCGAACUGAGACGGUUGAUCGGCCACAUUGGGACUGAGACACGGCCCAGACUCCUACGGGAGGCAG